rnacentral:rRNA from 1 species
GGACGAACGCUGGCGGCGUGCUUAACACAUGCAAGUCGAGCGGUAAGGCCCUUUCGGGGGUACACGAGCGGCGAACGGGUGAGUAACACGUGGGUGACCUGCCCUUAGCUCUGGGAUAAGCCUGGGAAACUGGGUCUAAUACCGGAUAUGACUCCAUGACGCAUGUUGUGGGGUGGAAAGCCUUGUGCGGCUAGGGAUGGGCCCGCGGCCUAUCAGCUUGUUGGUGGGGUGAUGGCCUACCAAGGCGACGACGGGUAGCCGGCCUGAGAGGGCGACCGGCCACACUGGGACUGAGACACGGCCCAGACUCCUACGGGAGGCAGCAGUGGGGAAUCUUGCGCAAUGGGCGAAAGCCUGACGCAGCGACGCCGCGUGAGGGAUGACGGCCU